UACGGAAGGGGGCUAGCGUUGCUCGGAAUCGACUGGGCGUAAGGGUGCGUAGGCGGGUCUUUAAGUCAGGGGUGAAAUCCUGGAGCUCAACUCCAGAACUGCCUUUGAUACUGAAGAUCUUGAGUCCGGGAGAGGUGAGUGGAACUGCGAGUGUAGAGGUGAAAUUCGUAGAUAUUCGCAAGAACACCAGUGGCGAAGGCGGCUCACUGGCCCGGUACUGACGCUGAGGCACGAAAGCGUGGGAGCAAACAGG
rnacentral:rRNA from 1 species